UACGUAGGGUCCGAGCGUGUCCGGAAUUAUUGGGCGUAAAGGCGCGCGCAGGCGGUCCUUUAAGUCUGAUGUGAAAGCCCACGGCUCAACCCGUGGAGGGUCAUUGGAAACUGGGGGACUUGAGUUGCAGGAGAGAAAAGUGGAAUUCCACGGUGUAGCGGUGAAAUGCGUAGAGAUGUGGAGGAACACCAGUGGCGAAGG
rnacentral:rRNA from 1 species